ensembl:ncRNA ZK721.6 ncRNA
GGAGACGUGUUGGAAAGAGCAUCUGUCUGUAUGGCAUUGUCCGAGAGACCCAAAGAUACAGAAUUGGAGGGCGGGCGGUUUGUGGGGCGGCUGUUGCCAACUCUAGGUACCUCUCA